rnacentral:rRNA from 1 species
UGGGGAAUUUUGGACAAUGGGGGCAACCCUGAUCCAGCCAUGCCGCGUGAGUGAAGAAGGCCUUCGGGUUGUAAAGCUCUUUCGGCGGGGAAAAAUCCGAGGCGGUCUAAUAAGCCGCUGAGGUGAUGGUACCCGCAGAAGAAGCACCGGCUAACUACGUGCCAGCAGCCGCGGUAAUACGUAGGGUGCGAGCGUUAAUCGGAAUUACUGGGCGUAAAGCGUGCGCAGGCGGCCGUUUGUGUCUGCCGUGAAAGCCCCGGGCUUAACCUGGGAAUUGCGGUGGAAACUGGACGGCUGGAGUGCGGCAGAGGGGGGUGGAAUUCCACGUGUAGCAGUGAAAUGCGUAGAGAUGUGGAGGAACACCGAUGGCGAAGGCAGCCCCCUGGGCCGACACUGACGCUCAGGCACGAAAGCGUGGGGAGCAAACAG